UGAUGCGAUCAUACCAGCACUAAAGCACCGGAUCCCAUCAGAACUCCGAAGUUAAGCGUGCUUGGGCGAGAGUAGUACUAGGAUGGGUGACCUCCGAAGUUAAGCGUGCUUGGG
rnacentral:rRNA from 1 species